GUUUUUGAAAAUAUUCGAAAAAAAUAAUAAAAAAAAAAAAACAAAAAACAACGUGACAUAGAAGACUUCAAAAUCGAUCAUUUAUUUUUAGGAACGAUCCUCUGUGUAUAAUUUAAUUUCAUUUUAUCUAAUUUAAUUUUUUUCUUUCGCUACAACUCGUCAUCGUGUCGUCACGUGGAGUAUAUUCCUGUACCGCAGCGAUAUUCAUUCGAAUGAAUAUCUCCAUUAGUUUCCGGAUUCCUAUAUAUAAAGGCGUUUCACAUGAUGUACACGUAUAUGUUCAUCGAUAACAUCUGAAUUUAAACAAGUAAAACAAGCACGUCGUUAUUCGUACCAAGAAUCAAGGAAGCUACGCAUCCGAUUCACGUUUCAUAUACUCGUUACUAUGGAUAUACGUCACAAUUUAAGGAUAGCACACCCGAGAGUACCACCUAAUGCACGUACACGUCUAUACGGGGGUAUAUCGUUGAUUUACAUCUACAACAAUCCAAGAAGUAGAAAAGAAAAAAUAGGAUACAGAUUUCCGCUUGACAGCGUACCGGAUCUUGUCUCAUGUACUUUUCCUUGUUAGCGUACAGUAAACAUUUGAUAAACAUGUUAUAAGAUAGAUUUAACGUUAACUGCAGCUGCGUUCAACAUUUUCUGCUGCAGGUAGGCGUGUUUAUGAAGAUUAUGGAAAAUUUGUUCAUCUUGUAAAUCGUACGUUGGAAAAGAAGAAGGAAAAAAAUAUAAUUGAGAAAAA